CCGCACUGCCAAGUGACUGGACAACUACUUCCCAUGGUUUUUCAAUCUCAUUCCAGUGCUAGAUGAACCUCUCUUUGCAGAAGGGCUGUGCUAGACCAUUGGCGCCCCCCUUUCGAAAGUUGAGAACAAAU